rnacentral:rRNA from 1 species
GGGGAAUAUUGCACAAUGGGCGAAAGCCUGAUGCAGCGACGCCGCGUGAGGGAUGGAGGCCUUCGGGUUGUAAACCUCUUUCGCUCAUGGUCAAGCCGCAACUGUGGGUUGUGGUGAGGGUAGUGGGUAAAGAAGCGCCGGCUAACUACGUGCCAGCAGCCGCGGUAAUACGUAGGGCGCGAGCGUUGUCCGGAAUUAUUGGGCGUAAAGGGCUUGUAGGCGGUUGGUCGCGUCUGCCGUGAAAUCCUCUGGCUUAACUGGGGGCGUGCGGUGGGUACGGGCUGACUUGAGUGCGGUAGGGGAGACUGGAACUCCUGGUGUAGCGGUGGAAUGCGUAGAUAUAUGGAGGAACACCGGUGGCGAAAGCGGCUCUCUGGCUUGUAACUGACGCUGAGGCUCGAAAGCGUGGGGAGCAAACAGGAUUAGAUACCCUGGUAGUCCACGCCGUAAACGAUGAGUGCUAGGUGUUAGACCCUUUCCGGGGUUUAGUGCCGUAGCUAACGCAUUAAGCACUCCGCCUGGGGAGUACGACCGCAAGGUUG